GAAGUCUCGUAACCGUAAGAUUUUUCUAAUUCUAUUCUGUUUUAGUUAUCUCAAUAAGUUAAAUUUAAAAUAUGCCGAACUGUAUUUCUGCUAGAUUAUUCUUAAUCUUAAUAGAUUUAUAUUUCUAAUUAUAAAUAUACAAUUUCUUACAUUAAUUUGGUGUGGCGGAUGAGGAGAAAUAUAAGUGUAUUUAAUUAUUAGGACUUGAAUUUUGUGAAAGAGAUAUACUAUAUAUACCAUUUUGAUUUUAAUGAAAAUCUUCAUUGUGUCUUCAUCCGUGAAUGUAAGCCAAUAGCUAAACCACGUAAAUAUUUUUGUGCUUUAUUUUUUUUUUAUCUCUUUCUUGAUUCUUUUUGGUAUUUUCACGCCUGACGAACUAAAUCUUUUCUGUUUUUAUUAUCUGGUAUUAGUAUAAAUGGUGGAUUUUUUACAAUUUUUUUGGG
rnacentral:lncRNA from 1 species